AUGUAUGUAAUAUACGCAUAUACAAUAUAUACAUACAUAUACACACAUAUAUUUAUAUAUAAUGCUGCUUUCAUGAAAAAAUUAACCCAUCACAAUUGGUCGUUUGAGUGGACUGGUAGCCUACACCUUUAACCCCAGGACCUGGUAGGCAAAAGCAAGUAGAUCUCUGAGUUUGAGGCCAGCCUGGUCUACAGAGUGAGUUCCAGGACAUCCAAGGCUACACAGAAAAACCCUGCCUCAAAACACAAAAACAAACGAUUGGUUGGUUUUCAGUUCUGGAAUCUGAGGCCUGGUGCAUGUUAGCCAAGCACUCUACCACAGAGCUCACCUGCAGCCCAGCGCAGUCUCACAAACACGGAAGAGCUCAGUUGAGUCUCGAGAUCAUCAAAAUUAAAAUGCAGUCAGAUGAGCUCCGCACUCAGGAGGCAAGCAACCGUUUUCUCAGGUUAAGGGCAGCCUACGCCACAUAGGGAAUUCAGAUCCUGACUGAUGUAUGAGGUUCAGCAGAGAGAUUCAGGAAGCAUGGGGACGAUCAAGAGCCGCCAGCAGAUAACUCCUGCUUAGGACCACACCGUCAACAAACCUCAAAAUGCGUCCCUGAAAUGCUGAGGUGUUGGGGUACAUGGAGGCAAAGCCAACACUCUGAGGAACAGCAAAACAAUGGAGAUUCCAGAUGGCUCAAAAUCUCCCCAGCAGGACCCUACUGACCCUGUGGAUUCGGUGACUCCUUGCCAGACAGGUAUAAAUCCGGGUGUUGCCGUGACUUGUCCAGGUCACCAAAGCUCCCUUGGCAAAUGUGUGACUCAGUGGCCUCUGUAACCUGAGCGAUACUGGUGGCGGCACUGUUCUCUGGAUCUGGGCAAAGAAAAGCUGCCUGGGAGUGGAUUUCAGUGGUGCGUCUGAAGCAGUUCACUCUUCCUGCAUCCUGACCUGCUCCCCAGUCUGUGGGUCAGUAGAGCUCCACGGAACUCAACAGAGUUGUGAGCAGUGCAUCACAGGGGAUUUAACUUAUCUGAACACAUCACUUGUGAAAGAGCUUUUUGUAAGCCCUUUAUCUGGGUCAAGGACGCUGAAUCACAAAGUACAAGGAGGCUCUUCACAGGUAGGGGAACAAGACUCAGCUGCUGCAGACUCCCAGGUCUGUGGCGAGCCUCAAAUGGCUCUACAAGCCCUGGUCUCCUUCCUGCAGCUUUCAGCGUGGCGGAUGAAAGGCAGUCCAGAGCUGGAAAGAGUCCUGUCUGGCGUUGCUAUUUCAGUGCUAAUGAGCUGUCUGCAGCCCUCUGCCAGGCUUGGAGAGAGCUUUUCAUGUACUGCACCUGUGUUAGCAGCCACCGGUAUGAGGAGGAUUUGUGGCCCUAAAGAACUACAAAUGACCUUUUUGCUUUGAGGCUCUCCAGGGUAAGAGGGUUCACAAUGGUGGCAGAAGGGACAAAAUGAGAAUAUCUGUUCCCCAAUGUUAGGCUGGCUUCCCUGGCCAAGGCCAGAAGGUGGCGCUGUGGUUCAACUGCCUGAGAUGCUUUCACAUUUGUGUCUCUUUUAGUGCAGUAAAAUAUGCAUAACAAAA
rnacentral:sRNA from 1 species